CUACGGGACGCUCCAGUGGGGAAUAUUGCACAAUGGACGAAAGUCUGAUGCAGCAACGCCGCGUGGAGGAUGACACAUUUCGGUGCGUAAACUCCUUUUAUAUAGGAAGAUAAUGACGGUACUAUAUGAAUAAGCGCCGGCUAACUCCGUGCCAGCAGCCGCGGUAAUACGGAGGGCGCAAGCGUUACUCGGAAUCACUGGUCGUAAAGAGCGUGUAGGCGGAUAGAUAAGUCAGGAGUGAAAUCCUAUGGCUCAACCAUAGAACUGCUCUUGAAACUGUCUAUCUAGAAUAUGGGAGAGGUAGAUGGAAUUUCUGGUGUAGGGGUAAAAUCCGUAGAGAUCAGAAGGAAUACCGAUUGCGAAGGCGAUCUACUGGAACAUUAUUGACGCUGAGACGCGAAAGCGUGGGGAGCAAACAGGAUUAGAUACCCGGGUAGUC
rnacentral:rRNA from 1 species